UGGGACAAACCUGAUUAUCAUAAGUUGAAGCUGGAGCAGGUGGAGCUGAGCUGGCUGGUUGGGUGUCAACUGGAUUAGAAGGAAAACUUGGCUUAAAACUGUUCGAUUGGGAAGGUUUAGAGGUGCUGAAAGAUGUUGCACCAUAUAAAGGUGGAGGGAGGGAAAUCCUCUCAGGAACAUUCCCCUUGCAACGACCCAAUAUAUUAAGCUCUAUCGUGGCCUUAUAUUGAGAAGGAAUUUCCAUUAGAGCUGCCAGAGCAAAUUCUGUCUCCUUUUGGGAUGAGUCCACAUGCUUUGACAUAAUUUCUGUAAAAUUUACAAAUUGGAAAUUAUCGAACUCUCGAGCAGGGAUGUUAUCAUCAAA
rnacentral:misc_RNA from 1 species